CUGGCUAUCAUUAUCCUAAAGACAUUCGGGGGUCAACCGAAGCCCGUAGCCGCCUUCGGGCGUGACGGGCGGCUGGUAUCCUCCAGCUGAGCGCUGUAUGUUGCAGUGCGGGCCGGCCUUUGGGGUCGGGAGUCCGUGCCUGUAGCGGACCACCCCUUGGGAAACUCAGUGGGGGCAAUUGGAUGGGCCGUGGACGGCUUUCGGCGGCUUCGGCCCCGGACCUCUCCCGGCUCGGGCGCUGGGCUUCGGCUUGGCCCCGACCUUCUAGCUAACCCUGACCCGGUAUCCUCGGGUACCGGUCUGGGACGUCUGGACUCCGGUUCAGGCUUACCGGUGAAGAUAGUUACCUGGUUGGUUCUGCUA
rnacentral:misc_RNA from 1 species